UACGUAGGGUGCAAGCGUUGUCCGGAAUUAUUGGGCGUAAAGAGCUCGUAGGCGGUUUGUUGCGUCGGCUGUGAAAUCCCGAGGCUCAACCUCGGGUCUGCAGUCGAUACGAGCAAACUAGAGUGUUGCAGGGGAGACUGGAAUUCCUGGUGUAGCGGUGAAAUGCGCAGAUAUCAGGAGGAACACCGGUGGCGAAGGCGGGUCUCUGGGCAGUAACUGACGCUGAGGAGCGAAAAGCGUGGGGGAGCGAACAGG
rnacentral:rRNA from 1 species